UCACGUACAAUCGUGUCAAAUGAUUUAAGGGAGGAAAUGCAGUACAACAGCGCUAGAAAAUGAAUAAAGCGAACAAAGAGCAAUAGUUUUACAGCCCCUCGAUUUGGAACGCCUCUCCCGCAUGGUCGCUGUGAGCGUGCUCCCUUUGCAGUGUCCUAGGUAGGCUGCAUGUGAUCGGAAUGGAGCGCGGCCUUUCCCACCGUCACGUUGCGGAAGCGGAGCCGAAUGGGGGACGGAGACGAGGAGCUGGUGCGGCGGUGGGAAAGGGAGCAGGAGUGUUUGAAGCAGCGUUUGGUGGAGGAGGACACAGAGGCCUGGCAGAAAAAUCCAAACUUCAGUGGGCUGCACAGGGUAGGAGGGGUGGACCUGUCCUUCAUUAAAGGAGAUGAAGUCAGUGCCUGUGCUCAGCUCGUCGUGCUUAGUUACCCUGAUAUGGAGUUGCUGUAUGAAUGCAGUGAGAUGGUGACCCUCAGUGCCCCCUAUAUUGCCGGGUUUCUGGCCUUUAGAGAAGCUCCGCCCCUUUUACAACUUCUACAGAGACUGGAGAGAGAACAGCCCAGCCUAAUGCCUCAGGUGCUGUUUGUAGAUGGAAACGGUCUUUUUCAUUACAGAGAGUUUGGUUUGGCCUGUCAUCUUGGUGUACUCUCAGAUCUACCCUGUGUGGGCGUGGCUAAAAACCUGCUGCAGGUGCAGGGCGUGGCCAAGACUGAUGAACACCUGUCGCAGAUCAGUGCUUUGAAGAAAGCAGGAGAUACAUUCCCUCUGACCGCUGCCUCUGGGAGAACACUUGGGCAGGCUCUCCGGAGUUCAAACAGCAGCACUAAACCCAUCUACGUGUCUGUGGGUCAUCGCAUCAGUCUGGACACGGCGGUCCACCUCACGCAUUCAUGCUGCCGCUACCGCGUACCUGAACCCAUACGACAGGCCGAUAUGCGCUCUAGAGAAUACCUGCGGACACACUUCCCUCCCACCAGCUCUGAAUAGAAACACACAGAGUUUUGGUCUAAGGAUUUUCUCAGCAGCUGCAGCGUGAGAAGUUGAUUUCACCACAGCAGUCAGUCAGUCCUACGUUGCUCUUGGCAGCAGCUCGGCUUCGGCACAGAAACAGCAGCAUCAUCUGGUCUGUGUGUUGUGGGUGGACGUGACCUGUGACUCUGCACUGAAAACAUGAGCUACAGCAGCAGCACAUGAAAACACCACAUCACUGCGAAGUGAUAUGACCGUUUACAGUGGUGGGGUGAGUUGCAGAGCAGGUCGUCUUCGUUAGCCAGAUAAAUUAAGCUGGAAAGCCUCUGAAUCGGCCUUCUGACCUCGGUGGCGAGGUCAGCAGUGUGGAGAGAACAAGGGAUCUGUUUUAGCAUUCACUGGACUCUGUGGUUAAUGUAAUACUGAUUCAUUUGUGACUGUACAAGCUAAAAAAGUUUUCUUGGUGUCAGUUCUUGGUACAACACCAUACACCCAUGAAAAAGGUUUUGCAAGGUUCUAGUGAAGGUUACAUAGAGAACCUUGGGCUCUCAAGGAAUUGUUUUAAUGCAUUAAUAGUCCUUUGCAUGGUUAAAUAGUUGUCUAUGAAGACUGUUGUGUACAGCUCUUUGUAAAAUAGUUCUUUCUUUGAACAAUAGUUCUAGAUAGCACCAAAAACGUUUCCACUAUUUUCUUUAUUUUGGUGCUAUAUAGAACGUUAUACAUAAAACCUCGGGCACUCUUUGGAAUGUGUCAUUGAUUUUUUGCAUGGUUAGAUGGUUCUACUCUAUGAUAGAAAUGAUUCUUUAAAGAACCUUUUUAAAAUGUAAAAUUAUUCUAUAUAGCCCCACCAAAAGGUUUCCAUUAUGAUUCCAUUAUAGUCAAAGAACCUUUGUUUUGGUAUAUUGAACACAUCCUUCUAUGAGUGGGGUUCUGCAGCAGGGAACUCAGCAGGGAACUCAUUUCAAUGUAUCAGUGGCUCUUUGCAUGGCUGAAUAGUUUUUUUUCGCAAUGACGGAGAUGGUUCUACACAGAACCUUUUUAAAAAUUAAAAUGUAUAUUUCUGUAUAGCACCACAAAAGGUUUCCACCAUUUUAUCACAUCAAAGAACCUUUUUUUAGUACUAUACAGAACAAGUCAUGCUAACAGUGUGGUUCCUCUAAGGUUCUUUGGUAUAGGUAAUCCUGGGCACUCAUUUGAACGCAUUUGGUUCUACUCUAAGAUUGAGGUGAUUCUUUAAAGAACCUUUUAAAAAAUGAAAAUGGUUCUUUAUAUCACCACAAAAAGGUUUCCACUAUUUUCACAAGUCAAAGAACCUUUAUUUCGGGACUGUAUUGAACACAUCCUGCUAAGAGUAUAGUUCUUCAAAGGUUCUUUACUAAAGUUAAUGUCAUAUAUAGAACCCACUCAUUUGAACGCAUCAGUGGUUCUUUGCAUGGUUAACUGUUUUUUCUCAAUAUUGGAGAUGGUUCUAUAAAGAAUAUUAUAUUAAAUAUUAAUAUAUUUAAAAUUCUUUCUGCAUAGCACCACAAAAGGGUUAUACUGUUUUAACAAAUCAAAGAACAAUUUUUUUGGUACUGAACAGAACCUUUUUGCUAAAAGUCUUCAUCAGUAAAGGACGUGGUUAAAAUAAAGAACCACAAGCACUCAAAUAUCCAUUUGAAUGCAUAAAUGGUUCUUUGCAUGCUUAAAUGGUUCUUCUCUGUGAUGGAGAUGGUUCUUUAAACAACCUUUUUAAAAAUUCAAUUGGUUCUAUACAGCACCACCAAAGGGUUCUACCAUUUAUUUGUACUGUGUGGAACGUUUUUUGCUAAAAGUCUUCAUUAGUAAAGAUAGCAGUUAAAUAAAGAACCACAAGUACUCAAAUAACUAUUUUAAUGCAUAAAUUGUUCUUUGCAUGCUUGCUUAGCUCUUUUCUAUGAUAGAGAUGGUUAUUGUUAUUAAACUCUUGGUACAUUAUAGAAGCCUCUUUUUUUUGCUUAGUGUAGCUGAACCACAGUGGGUUCCACCAAGAUCAUUCCAGUGGAUGGUUCUUCAGAGAACAAUUUUAGUAAGGAUGUGUGGUGCAUGAGUGAGCAGAAGCUUCACAUAAUGGAACUUUUGAAUUAUGUGAAGGUUCUUUCAAGCUUUCAAGGGUUCCCAAAUCACAUUCCCAAAUCUUUUUCAAACAUGGUUCUAGAUAUUUAGCACUUAGAUUUUCUAACUCAUCCAUAUCUUUCUUUUGCUUCCAGUGAUGUAUCUCCCACUCGCUCCACCAACCAGUGACUAUGUGCAUAAUUUCCACAUAAAUAAAAUAUAUUACAUCACAUAUAUUACAAUUAUUGCCAAAACUAAGAAAUAAGAAAGACACAAUAGUGUUAAUGUGAUGUGGAGAGCAGGGCACUAAACAACACGGGGUAAGAUAUAACAUGGAUGUUUCAUGUAGGUAAACAUGUUGAAGAAGAAAAUGCUUUUAGUCAUGUUCUUGUGUUCCCAUAGCAACGUCAUCCACCAACUUUAACAGCAAUCAGACAGAAUUUUCUCCAGAUACAGCCUCAAGACAAUAUUUUAUUUGGAAAAUGAAUG